rnacentral:rRNA from 1 species
AUUGAACGCUGGCUGUAUGCUUAACACAUGCAAGUCGAACGGUAACAGGGGGGAGCUUGCUCUCUCGCUGACGAGUGGCGGGCGGGUGCGUAACGCGUAGGAAUCUACCUUAAAGUGGGGGACAACCCGGGGAAACCCAGGCUAAUACCGCAUAAUACCUAAGGGGGAAAGCAGGGGAUCUUCGGACCUUGCGCUUUAAGAUGAGCCUGCGUCGGAUUAGCUAGUUGGUAGGGUAACGGCCUACCAAGGCGCCGAUCCGUAGCUGGUCUGAGAAGAUGAUCAGCCACACUGGGACUGAGACACGGCCCAGACUCCUACGGGAGGCAGCAGUGGGGAAUAUUGGACAAUGGGCGAAAGCCUGGUCCAGCAAUACAGCGUGUGCGAUGAAGGCCUGCGGGUUGUAAAGCACUUUUAGUAGGGAGGAAAAGAUCAAGGGUAAUAUUCUUGAGAAUUGACGUUACCUACAGAAAAAGCACCGGCUAACUCUGUGCCAGCCGCCGCCGUAAGAC